rnacentral:tRNA from 1 species
GGGGAUGUAGCUCAGUGGUAGAGUAUUUGCCUAGCAUGCAUGAGUCCUUGAUUUAAUCUCCAGCACUGCCA